rnacentral:lncRNA from 1 species
UGCCCCCCGUGCUCCUCUACUCGCUGGCCGCCGGGGUCCCCGUGCUCGUGGCAAAACACAGUAUGGUGACACUGUCCUGCUUCAUGAACACAGUAAAUGUUGCUGAGAGAUCAUGGCAUUUUCUCUCCUGCUGAGACUAAGCUGGGCUUCUAAACCUUAAGAGAACACUCCAGGAAACUUCAUCUAAUUGGGUUUACUGUCUUGGAAUCAGAUGAUUAUUAAAAUGCUUCCAAUUGUAUGUAGUAUAUAUGAUGUAGUAUACUACAUGGUUGUGCAUUAUAGUUAAUUACAUACACACAUAUUUUGGCUGUCAAAAGAUUAUAAAUUCCUAUAGACUAGCAUAUUUGUCUUGCGUAUUUUUGCUUCUUGCUCACCACAUCCUGACUACCAUAAUGCCUUUAAAAUGGUAGAUAUAAAUAACGCUAAUAUUUGUGUAUUUAAAAAAAUAAAAUUAAUAGAAAUUAAAA